AGUGAACGCUGGCGGCGUGCUUAACACAUGCAAGUCGAACGAGAACGGAUUAUGGCUUGUUAUAAUUGUCAGCUAAGUGGCGCACGGGUGAGUAAUGUAUAGGUAAUAUGCCUCUUACUAAGGGAUAACAAAUGGAAACGUUUGCUAAUACCUUAUACUCCUUAUUAACAGAAGUUAAUAAGGGAAAGAUUUAUUGGUAAGAGAUUAGCCUGUAUUGUAUCAGUUAGUUGGUGGGGUAAUGGCUUACCAAGACUAUGACACAUAACUGGUUUGAGAGGAUGAUCAGUCACACUGGAACUGAGACACGGUCCAGACUCCUACGGGAGGCAGCAGUGGGGAAUAUUGCACAAUGGACGAAAGUCUGAUGCAGCAACGCCGCGUGGAGGAUGACACAUUUCGGUGCGUAAACUCCUUUUAUAUGAGAAGAUAAUGACGGUAUUAUAUGAAUAAGCACCGGCUAACUCCGUGCCAGCCGCCGCGGUAACAC
rnacentral:rRNA from 1 species